GACGAACGCUGGCGGCGUGCUUAACACAUGCAAGUCGAACGGAAAGGCCUGCUUUCCCUUGUGGAUUGCGGGUACUCGAGUGGCGAACGGGUGAGUAACACGUGAGUGAUCUGCCCCCAACUUGGGUAUAAGCCUGGGAAACUGGGUCUAAUUCCCGAUAGGACUGCAGGGUGGUGCCUGUGGUGGAAAACGAUUUUCUAGUGGUAGGGGAUGAGCUCGCGGCCUAUCAGCUUGUUGGUGGGGUAAUGGCCUACCAAGGCGGCGACGGGUAGCCGGCCUGGGAGGGUGGACGGCGACAUUGAGACUGGGAUACGGCCCAGACUCCUACGGGAGGCAGCAGUGGGGAAGAAUGGACAAUGGGCGGAAGCCUGAUGCAGCGACGCCGCGUGGGGGAUGACGGCCUUCGGGUUGUAAACUCCUUUCGACCGCGAGGAAGCCACCUGGUUGGAAGGGUGGUGACGGUAGUGGUAGAAGAAGCACCGGCUAACUACGUG
rnacentral:rRNA from 1 species